UAAGUUUGGGAGGAAUCAAAAGUUGUAUGUGGAUUUUCUUCUGUGUGUCGGUCAGUGCCCCUAACCUAUGUUCGAGGGUCAACUGUACUUCUCCUAUUCCCUUCCCCCCUAUUCUCUGAAAUAGCAGAAUAAAUAUUAAAACAAACACUUAGAAGCCCUGGAAAACUAUGACAAUGUGCCACCAGCAGACUGGAACAUUUGGAGAAUUUCUGGAAGAUAUAAAGCAGCUGAGCUUAGAUUAGUGGUGAAACCCAACGGAGCCAAGGAGCCCACAGUGCGCAGGAGGGAUAGCAUGUCAAUCCCAAGUCAGCAUUCAAACUGAAGACAGAGGCAGAAGCAGGGGUCUACCCAGUGUCUAGUGGUGCUGGGGUUGCUGGACAGUCCCUGCCAGAAUGGAGGAGAACUACUCACACAGCAAGAGUGAUCAGAUGAGAACAAGCCUAACUGCAAGGCAGCCUGGGAAAUGCAGCGCAGCGCCGCACCUCUGCCCAGCUGCAGAUCAGCUAUUUGAAGCGAUUAAUCUCUACCCCCACCUCCCUAUU